GGGUGCUUGAGACUUUCUGUCUUGAGCAAUCGUGACGGACAGAAAGACAAAAGCCCCAAGUUAUUUUUCAAUACAACCUGAGGCUCUCGUAUGAAUCAGCAACAUAAGAAUAGCCUCUUAACAGCAGUAAUGCAAUCGGAGGUUAAAAUG
rnacentral:antisense_RNA from 1 species